rnacentral:rRNA from 1 species
GCCUACAAUUGCAUGUCGAACGGUAGCACAGAGAGCUUGCUCUCGGCGUGAGGAGUGGCGGACGGGUGAGUAAUGUCUGGGAGACUGCCUGAUGGAGGGGGAUAACUACUAGGAAACGGUAGCUAAUACCGCAUAAUGUCGCAUGACCAAAGAGGGGGACCUUCGGGCCUCUUGCCAUCAGAUGUGCCCAGAUGGGAUUAGCUAGUAUGUGGGGUAACGGCUCACCUACGCGACGAUCCCUAGCUGGUCUGAGAGGAUGACCAGCCACACUGGAACUGAAACACGGUCCGCACUCCUACGGGAGGCAGCAGUGGGGAAUAUUGCACAAUGGGCGCAGGCCUGAUGCAGCCAUGCCGCGUGUAUGAAGAAGGCCUUCGGGUUGUAAAGUACUUUCAGCGGGGAGGAAGGUGUUGUGAUUAAUAACCGCAGCAAUUGACGUUACCCGCAGAAGAUCACCGGGUAACUCCGUGCCAGCACCGCGGUAUACGGAGGGUGACGCGUUAAUCGGAAUUACUGGGCGUAAAGCGCCAGCGGCGGUCUGUCCAGUCGGAUGUGAAAUCCCCGGGCUCAACCUGGGAAGUGCAUUCCAAACUGGCAGGCUGGAGUCUUGGAUAGGGGGGUAGAAUUCCAGGUGUAGCGGUGAAAUGCGUAUAGAUCUUGAGGAAUACCGGUGGCGAAGGCCGACCUCUGGACUAAGACUGAGACUCAAGUGCGAAAGGGUGCGGAGCAAACAUGAAUAUAUACCCUGGUAGUGCACACCAUGGACGAUGUCCAUGUGUAGGUUGUGCCCUUUAGCAGUGGAUUCUCGAUCUAUGUCGUUAGAUCCACCGCCUGGAGAGUACUGCCUCAAGGUUAAUACUCAAAUGAAUUGAUCGGGUGCCACUCAAGCGCUCGAUCAUGUGGUUUAAUUUGAUGCUACGCGAAGAAGCUUACAUGGUCAUGACAUGCACUUAACAUUCCACAGAUCGAUUGGUGCGCUCGGGAAUUGUGACACAUGUGCUGCAUGACUGUCGUCACCUCCUGUUUACAAUGUUGCGUUGAAUCACGUACCAGGGCAUCUUUAUCCUUAUGUCAUGGC